GUGCGCAUCGCACAAAAUCCACCGAUAAGCAGCCGAUCAGUUAGAUCCAGGUCUUGCACAUCACAAGCGAUGCGAUGGCGGCGUACCGUCGUACCGCAUAGAGCAGUGUGCAAUUCGUCACCUCACCAUGGGCGUUGAACUCUGGCGAACGUUUGGGUAAGCAGCGCUCAUGAUUUGAGCGGAAGGAUAAACGGCCCUUGGAAAAGCAGUUUUAUUGAAGACACCGAAUAAGUUGAAUAGUAGAUAACAACUGAAGAAAGUGUCAGAGUGAGGAUUCGAAGCGUAAAAACGGCAAAUACGAACAAGUGCAAGAUGACAAACUCACACGAGCGGAAAAGGCAGCAAGCAAGGCCACGUGUCAAUGGUUUAUUCGACAAUUUUAUUCGAAUUCAUAUCAUGUUUCGGUUCACACUUCGGUAGCGAGUGCUACGACACCUCAGCAGUACACCCAUUGUGAAAAACACCUGUACCAUGCAACGUUAGGAAAUCGUCAACGUUUCAAAAUUAUGUAUCAAUAAGUCAACAUUGUCAGGCGCUGGGCACGAUUUGUACAGCGAAGAGAAAAGUCUUAUCAGUGGUAAUGUUUGCUGAUAAUUUUUUUAAAACCUGGAUAAAUGUGUUCCCCAUCCAAUCAAUUAGUAACAUAGUAACAAUGUUGUGCUGGAAGAACGCAAAGGAAUGGUAAAAUAUCUACAAAACCCUUGAAUAAUUUUAAUUGCGAUAAACGCUGUUAGUGUGAAGGUAUUUUAAUUUAUCCUAUCGUACACAUAGUUUCAAAUCACAUGAUUAGGAGUGACAGCAAAUCUAAUACAAACCAGCGGUCAACUAAUGUAUUUCAGUUUUCCCUACAAAAAAAAGGUUAAAAAUGUCUUUAAAAUGAAAUGACUUGUAGGUACUUUAAUUCAAUAUUUUUAAAAAAGUAUAACGUGAAAAAAAAUAGUUCAAGCGGACAGUGCAUAUUAGAAUAGUAAUUUAGGAACCUUAGACUGACCAAAGCUCAACCACCAGCAGCCUCUUGAUUAUCUGAUAUACAAAAAAAAAACAAGAAACAGUUAUUUUUAGACGAAGCUCUAAGUGGAAUCAAGUGACAAAAAAACCCUUCAAUUAUCACCACGUUUCAUAGUAUAUCUGUUUGAAUCGAUAACCAGUUGAUAGAUUUCCAUUUUCAAAUAUUGUCGAUGCACAUGAAGUUUAAUUCCGUCAGUUUUAUAAAUUUCCCACUUUUCGGAUUUUCGGAUUUUAUCGGAUUUUCACAAAUCGACCGACGACAAUUUGUGACCAACAAUCUGUUUAAUUUUUGAAUUUCGUGAAGUUUGACAAUGACGAAAUCUAAUUUUGUUAAUGUCAUACCGUUUCAUUGAUUUACAAACAAUACGAAAGAAAAACAUCAAACGCCGAAUAAACAGAACGAUAUUCCGAGUAAUUUCGAACUCAAAUCCAACAAAUGCUGCAAGCCUUAAAAAUAAUUCUUAUUAGAUGUUGCAUAGCUUUGGCUCGUUGCGAGCGGCAAAUGUAACCUCCUGCAUUUCAAGAAUACCUGUUUUGAUGUUUACCAUUGUCCGCAGGAACUCGACCAUCGAAAUUCAUAUUUGGGGCGCCUUAUGAAUCUUUGACUGAUCAACUCAUCCAAAGUGCUUUAUAUACGCAGUUGCCAAAAAGAGUAUCGAAAUCUCGAUAGUCGUGUUGUCUACGUGUGGGCGUCCCGAUUCCGACGUCCAUGGUUCGAACUCAGCCUGCGGCAUUUUACUUUUUUUAAUCGCUCUAUUUGUGUGAUUUUUUUUACAAAGAUUAUUCCAUCACCGUAAUUUACUAUGGCACUCUUCAGUAGUAAAAAACCCAUAUUAAAACAAUCCAUAAGUGGACUUCAGGUUUGAAUGCCACAGACCUACUCCCUAUAGUUGAUUGUUGAUCCCUCAGAACUCGCGUGCUUUACUUGGGAAGGUAACACUGUUCUACGAAUAGUUGCUCUACGAUUUCGAUUAUUCUCUGUUCGAUUUGCGAUACGAUGUCAUCAAUUUUAUUCGCGUUCUCUCGCAUUGGGAUAUUUUAUUUGCAAAAUGAGAAAUGAUUUACUCUUUGAAGGAAUCACCUUGUUACUUAUAUCUCCAAAUUGUUGGACCAAUCUUUUGGACUAAACUCUCGCUACGAGUUUGUUUGAACUUAUAUUUAUUCAAUCAACUUUGUAAUCAUGUAUGUUGUACAAGUCAUAGCCAAUCAACAAACGGUACAAAUGUUCAACGCUUGUUUGAAAAUAUUGCGCAAUAUUACGCAAUACUGCGAAAGUGUAUUGAGGCGCGUCUAAUACAUAUAAAAAAACUAAAUCUCCUAUGCAAUAUUGCGAAAUGCCUUCGAUCCGAUGUUUGAUUGAACAUAUUGCGCGAUGUUGCGCAAUAUUUGUUACAUAUAUUCGGUAUAGGGGGCAGACCAUUUUCCACAGAUUUAAAAACAAAAUGGAUCCUUUAUAAAAAGCUCGAAUGUGUUUUCGAGCAAAUGAAUUUUAAGAAAAAUGAAACUCGGAAAUCGUUCUUUGAACUAAAUAUAACUGGUUGAGAACGAACUGUAAAGUACUAAAAGAGGUGUAUGGAGAAAAUAUUAAACCUUAAAAAAAAAUACACUGGAGAGAAUCGAUAACUUAUGUAAAAAUUGAAAUAUCUCAAGAUAAUUUUAACAAAAUAUCUCGCCAAUUGUUUUUACGUAGAACUACGACUGUCUUUUCUAUAUUGGGGUACACUUCACGAUUGCCGAGGCACACUAGGGUGUCGAGAAUGUUUCCCCACCGAAAACCAUCCAAUAUAGGGUCGAUUUCGCCAUCUCCGGAUUCUGCGCCCUUGUUCGCAAGGCUAACUGGAGACCUCAAGCCAGCAUAGACGUCCAAUUAAAUGCAACUUACAAGCCUUUAGUUAGGCGGUGCAGCUCGUUUCUGCUAACUUACACGCGCGUUUUCUCUCGUAAACUUGGGGGCAUCUGACGGCAGCUUCUCGCUUACGCCUAUUAAUGCCAGUAGAGGGGCUCGAAAUCUUCUUCGCUGCUGCAGUGGAUGCAUUCUAGGAAACUUUUUUCAGCUCGUUUUUGCUGGUUCCUAGGAGUCUGUCGGAGUAAAUGCAAAGUCCGACGCAACUCACGUGAAGGAAUAAUAAUUAUUAUCAAUAAACUGUCAAACUUCUUCGUCGCGGCUACUCUGACUUCCUCCAUAGGAUGACCACUAGAGUGGCCCAGCCUUGUAUGGGGGAAAAAAAAGUUGUCGAAUUCUACGAGGCACCCCCUGGAUUGUGCCUUUGGGUAAGAGAAACAAUCUCUGAAAAUUUCAGCUCAAUCGCUUUUUUUUUAAGUCUUUAUUAAGGUGUUUUUUUAAUCUACAGACUAAGUUCAACACCGAGCUCAAUCGCUUGUUGCAUAAGCUGGCGCAUUUGAUUUGAAGUUUGUAAGGUGGUUUCAGCCUAAAUGCAUAGGAAAAUACACCUCCGUCACUAUUUCGUUCAGGAAAUUGAUUCGGUGUGCCCGAUUGAGCUCAGAAUUGCAACAAAGGCAGUUGAUGUGUUAAAGAUCAAUUCCACAGAACAUAAUUAUACUAAUAUAAUUAUACUAAGAUUGAAUUACUUUUUAUAAAGUUUCAACGGUGCAAAGUAAGGGCUGCCGAAAAGAAAUCAGUGCCACAAAAAAACUUGAGUCCCAGCAGUUUUCCUGUUUUUUCUUAUUGUUUCCUCAAUUAAAUUUGCCACAAGAAAUCAAUCUGUACCACUGCAACAAUCAUCGACGAAAACUGAAACAGAGACAAAGCAGCCGCCGCUAAGCCAGGUGGCUCAUUACAGAAAACCCAUCGUGUCAGCUGGGCUGUCAAUAGCGUUUGGUGGUCAUUAGACUGGCCCAGGAAACAAAAGGUUGUCGAAUUCUAAGAAAAUAGAUCUCUGAAAAUUUCAGCUCAAUCGCUUGUUGCAUAGGCUGGCGCAUUUGAUUUGAAGUUUUUUAUUGUGGUUUCAGACAAAAUGCAUAUGAAAAUACACCUCCGUCACGCUUUCGUUCAGGAAAUUGGUUCGGUAUGCCGGAUUGAGAUCAGAAUUGCAACAAAGGCAGUUGAUAUGUUAAAGAUCAAUUCCACAGAAAAUUAUACACUCAGCGAACUGGACUAUCGAAAUUCAUAACUGGCGCCUUAUGAAUAUUCGACUGAUUAUUCCACCAACAGUGCUUCUUAUACGCAGUUACCUCUUCGAAUACUCAAGCGUCGAUGGGCGUGUGGUCUACAUACCGGCCUCCUGACCCCGACGUCCAUGGUUCGAAUCCAGUCUACCGCACUUCACUUUUUUUAAAAUGAAAAUCAUCAUUCAUAAAGGCAACAUAUUGAAAUUCAUACCGAUUCCUUGUGGCAAAUUUCCAUAAGGCGUUUUAUUGAAAAUCGUACGUCCAUUUUCCUCAGUGUACGAUUAUUAAAUUAACUUUUCUUUCGGCUGAUCUAUUGGGGGUUAGGUUGUGCACUUUGGAAUUCAUUGAUUGUCAUGAAAAACGUGCGCAUGUUAUCAAAGGUGGCUGAGAUAUGUGCUGUGGCGCGCGUUCCUCUACAUAUGUUUGAGCGCGCGCGAAACCACACGUCGCAGGUAUCUUUGAUGACAUGCGUAUGUUUUUCAUGGCAAUCAAUGAAUUCCAAAGUGCACAACCUAACCCCCAAUAGAUCAGCCGAAAGAAAAGGUAAUUUAAUAAUCGUAUAAUUUUCUGUGGAAUUGAUCUUUAACAUAUCAACUGCCUUUAUUGCAAUUGUGAGCUCAAUCGGGCAUACCGAACCAAUUUCCUGAACGAAAGAGUGACGAAGGUGUAUUUUCCUAUGCAUUUUGGCUGAAACCACCAUAAAACUUCAAAUCAAAUGCGCCAGCUUAUGCAACAAGCGAUUGAACUGAAAUUUUCAGAGAUCUAUUUUCUUAGAAUUCGACAACCUUUUGUUUCCUGGGCCAGUCUAAUGACCACCAAACGCUAUUGACAGCCCAGCUGACACGAUGGGUUUUCUGUAAUGAGCCACCUGACUUAGCGGCGGCUGCUUAGUCUCUGUUUCAGUUUUCGUCGAUGAUUGUUGCAGCGGUACAGAUUGAUUUCUUGUGGCAAAUUUAAUUGAGGAAACAAUAAGAAAAAUUAGGGAAACGGCUGGGACUCAAGCUUUUUUGUGGCACUGAUUUAUUUCCGGCAGCCCUUACUUUGCACCGUUGAAUGUGCAAAAACAAUCUUUUAAAAAAGGAAAAACGAUCCGUAAAUAACUUCUGAAUGUUCUAUAAAACGCUACCAUAAAUCUAUAAAAUAGUCCGAGAGUAUCCACAAAGAAUAAUUUUAAGAUCCAUAGCCACAUUAAAAUUUAGCAAUCAAUAGGAUGUUUCUUUAAACUCGGUCAAGAAAAACAAUAAAAUUGUUGCUAUUUUUCCACAAACGUAUGAUAAAUGAUCCAUAAGUAUCUGAAAAAUAAUCCAUAAAAAUAUAUUUUGAUCCAUUAAACUAAAAUUUUGCGCAGUUUUGAUCACGAUGAUGAUCCAUAAUUUCAUUAAUAUGAUCCAUAGUUUUCAUUAAUAUGAUCCAUAAUUUUGAAAAUUAUGGAUCGUUGCUUGAAAAGAAGGCCAAUGAAACUAUAUUAAUUGAUCCCCAAAAUGUUUAAAAUUUAUGGAUAAUAUCAUCAAAUGUAUGGAUCAAAUGGCCAAAAUUAUGAAUCAAAUUAAUGAAAUUAUUAUCAUCAUCACGAUAAAAAUUGCGCAUAUUUGAAGUUUUAUGGAUCAAAAUAUAUUUUUUUAUGGAUCAUUUUCCAAAGAUUUGUGAAUCAUUUGUCAUACAUUUAUGGGAAAAAAGCAAGAAUUUUAUUGUUUUUCUUUACCAUGUUUAAAGAAACAUAUUUUCCUUUUAAUUGCUAGAUUUUUAUGUGGUUAUGGAACUUAAAAUUAUUCUUUUUGGAUACUCCCGGACUAUUUUAUAGAUUUAUGAUAGCGUUUUAUCGAACAUUCAGAAGUUAUUUACGAAUCGUUUUUUAUUUUUCAUGGAUCGUUCUUUAUUGUUUAUAUGCAAAAGUAUGUUUUGCCUUUAUUUUCCUCUCAAAUCUCCUGGUUGUUAUUCCAUUUUGUGAAAUACCAUUAAUACGAAGAAACUUCUAUUUAUUAAUUUAACUAUGUCAUCAUUUGUGUUGUGUUGUUAUACAAGUAGUAACCAUCCCUAGACGAUACCGAUUAUGACAAUUUAAUUUCUAACAUUGUGCAAUAUACUGUGAAUAUGUUUUUUUUUGCCUGUCUGAUAUAUUUGAAACUUUAUAAUUCUUGAAAAAUAGCCCUUAUUUAAAACUUCCUUCCUCAGCACUCGUGUGCUUUUCAUGGGUAGGUAACACCCCUUGGUCUACGCAUUCGUUUAUUCUCUGUUUUAUUUCAGUUACGAUGCCAUGCCAGUGUUCUAACCUCACGCACUUUUUAAGUACUGGUUUAGUUGUAUACCGUUGUUGUCUGUAGGUUUGUUGGAACUUGAGGGAGAAUGGUUAAAAAUAAAACAAAUUUAAAAAAAAUAAAAACAAACUAUCAAAUUUGGUGGAAUUAAAAUUACUACUUUAAAGUGGUUACCCUUUUUCUUAAACUUUUUUUUUAUACUCCUAUAUUUUGCGCAAUGCAUUCGAUUCGAAGACAGAUUCUUCAAACUUCUAUUUAUUUAUUUAACUAUAUCAUCAUUUGUGUUACACAAGUCGUAGUCAUCAGUGAAGGAUACAUAUUCUAUCGCUGUGAAAAUGUAUUCAUGCAUAUCUGAUACAUCGGAAGCUUUAUCAUUCUUGAUAAAUAUUAAGCAUUCUUAAUUGACAGAAAAUGUUUAUUGAUGUAAUCCUCGAGCUGACUGCAUGCAUUUUCGGUUGGUUUGAAUACUACAUGUCUACUGGCCAGAGCCUUAUUUUUUCUUUGUCAACGAAGUUUUCGGCUCUAGUCUGGUUCUUCUCAUUAUUAGGUAUAUUAUUUUGUUUAAGUUAACUAUUUUUAUUCUCGUCAAUUCUAAAUCCAUCUGCAAAAGGUCCUAAAAUUUGCGCUUGAAAAUUAUUUACGAUGACAUUUUUAAGUGAUAAUAAGCCCCUAUUAAAAUAAUCAUUAAGCAGAUUUCUGGCAUGUUCAGUUGGUUUGAAUACUACACGUUUACUUGCUAAUAUUUGAUCCAUUAUUCAAAGAACCUCUGCCGUUUUUCUCUGUUUGGCUGCAAAUGUAAGGUCAUCAAAUUUGCCUGCGUCCUUGCAACACAACGCCAUUUUGUUAUGUCGUCGUUUCGGGAUCUUUUGUUAGCAAUAUGAGAAUUGAUUUCAUGUAUUUGAAUAUGCUGAAAUCACCAGUCGUUUAUUCGAUUUCGAAUACUCUUUCACCAACCUCUACAUCAGUUAAAUGCGUGCUAUCGAUUUAAAACUUACUUUGCUGAUGUAUGCAAGAGUACACGCAAAAAAAGCGUUCAUGAAUUCGUGAACUAACGAGUUCACGGUGUAUUUUUUCGGGAACAACAGUCACGGAUUCGGCAAUACAGUCACGUUUUCUGGAACGUUCUGGAAAACGUGACUGGUGUUCCCGAAUCCAUGAAUUAAAUCACGGUGUAUUUUUGCUGGUUCACGAAUUCGGGAACGCUUUUUUUGCGUGUACGACGUUGAUAAUCGAAUUCAUGUUUUCGUGUCUUGUAAGUCUCAUAACACAAUUUUUUAUCCUAAUCUUAUGUUACAACUACCAACCAUCUGUUUUUAUCUUACGGUUUGUGAUUAUAAUUAUUCUUGACUUAUUAGAAUAUUUUCUGUGUAAAAUAAGAAAAGAUUUAUUUCACUUAAUUAUAGUGAAAUCACGACCUUGUUUAGCUCUAUACUCUAUUUAGCACUCGAUACGAUGAAAGAUUCUAUUAAUAAAUUCGUUCUUGAAAAUUAUUCAAAUUGGUUUUCUUAAGUGAUAAAAAGAUUCUAUUAAAAUAAUCAUUAAGCAGAGUUCAGGCAUGUUCCGUUGGUUUGAAUACCACUUGCUCACUUGCUAAUAUUUGAUCCUUUAUUCAAAGAACCUCUGCCGUUUUUCUCUGUUUGGCUGCAAAUGUAACGUCGUCAAAUUUGCCUGCGUCCUUGCAACUCAACGCCAUUUUUUUGGAUUUUUAUUAACGAUAUUUUGUUAUGUCGUCGUUUCUUUUGUUAGAAAAAUGAGAUUUCAUGUAUUUGAAUAUGCUGAAAUUACCAGUCGUUUAUUCGAUUUCGAAUACACUUUCACCAACCUCUACGUCAGUCAAAUGCGUGCUAUCGAUUUAAAACUUACUCUGCUGAUGUAUGCAAGAGUACGUUGGUAAUCGAAUCCAUGUUUUCGUUUCUUGUAAGUCCCAUAACACAAAUUUUUAUCUUAAUCUUGUGUUACAACUACCAACCAUCUGUUUCUAUCUUACGGUUUUUGAUUAUAAUUAUUCUUGACUUAUUAGAAUAUUUUCUGUGUAAAAUAAGAAUAGAUUUAUUUCACUUAAUCAUAGUGAACGACCUUCCACGACCUUUUUUAGCUCUAUACUCUAUUUAGCACUCGAUACGAUGAAAGAUUCUAUUAAUAAAUUCGUUUUUGAAAAUUAUUCAAAUUGGUUUUCUCAAGUGAUUAAAAGAUUCCAUUAAAAUAAUCAUUAAGCGGAUUUCUGGCAUGUUCCGUUGGUUUGAAUACUACUUGCUUACUUGCUAAUAUUUGAUCCAUUAUUCAAAGAACCUCUGCCGUUUUUCUCUGUUUGGCUGCAAAUGUAAGGUCGUCAAAUUUGCCUGCGUCUUCCGGCGAUUUGAACUUAUUGUGCUGAUUUUCAGUUGGGUGCCAACUACAACCAACCAACCUGAUUGCUCGAUUGACCUCAGAAUUGCAAAACCGGCAGUUGGUAUGCUACAGAACAAUUUCACAGAACAUUGUGUGAUGAUUAAAUGAACUUUUAUAUAAUUUUCGGAUGAUUUAUUAUUGUCUAUUUUUGGAUUUAUUGAUCGAAUCGAGGCAGCUGAAAAUUAUAUAAAAGUUCAUUUAGUCAUCGUGCAAUGUUUUGUGAAAUUGUUCUGUAGCAUACCAACAGCCCUUUUUGCAAUUCUGAGCUCAAUUGAGCAAUCAGAACCAAUUUUUAGAUCUAAUGAGUGUCAGAGGUGGAUUUUUCUAUAUAUUUUGACUGAAAUUCCCAUACAAACUUCAAAUCAAAUGCGCCAGCUUAUGCAACAAGCGAUUGAGCUGAAAUUUUGAGAGAUUGAUUUUCUCACCAAAAGACACAAUCCUGGGGGGUGCCCCGUGGAAUUCAACAAAAAAAAAUUCUCCCCAUACUAAGCUUGGCCAGUCUUAUUUACAUACCACAUAACUUGUACUACUAGUAUGCAGGAUGAUUGAAAAAAAUCCCAACCAAAAUUUAUUUAACCUGACCGGCAUUAUCCUUCAAUUCCGACAAUUUGCUUUUUUCUCAAUACAACAACUGCUGGUUCCACCAAAAAAAUCUCUUUUUUUGACAGUGGAUUUAUGUCCGCCUUAUUAUCAGCCUUGAUCUUGCUUUAAAAUCGUUCUAAAGACUGUUUCACUAACCAACUUGUGUAGCAUUUGUAGCGAUCAUCGAGAGGUUGCAAUAUAGCUUUUACUUAUUUUUGCCAAUUUUUUAAUUCUGCUCCAAAAUUUAGUUUUAGUUCGAAAUAAAAAAGACUGUAAACAGAA